rnacentral:rRNA from 1 species
GGAUGAACGCUAGCGGCAGGCUUAAUACAUGCAAGUCGAACGGGAUUCGGGGUAGCAAUACUUUGAUGAGAGUGGCGCACGGGUGCGUAACGCGUAUGCAACCUACCUUUAACAGGGGAAUAGCCCCGAGAAAUCGGGAUUAAUACUCCGUAACAUUGCGGUGUGGCAUCACACUGCACUUAAAGCUGAGGCGGUUAAAGAUGGGCAUGCGUGACAUUAGCUAGUUGGUGAGGUAACGGCUCACCAAGGCAACGAUGUCUAGGGGUCCUGAGAGGGUUAUCCCCCACACUGGUACUGAGACACGGACCAGACUCCUACGGGAGGCAGCAGUAAGGAAUAUUGGUCAAUGGGCGCAAGCCUGAACCAGCCAUGCCGCGUGCAGGAAGACGGCCCUAUGGGUUGUAAACUGCUUUUGUCAGGGAAUAAACCCCCGCUCGUGAGCGGGGCUGAAGGUACCUGAAGAAUAAGCAUCGGCUAACUCCGUGCCAGCAGCCGCGGUAAUACGGAGGAUGCAAGCGUUAUCCGGAUUCAUUGGGUUUAAAGGGUGCGCAGGCGGAUUGGUAAGUCAGGGGUGAAAUCCCACAGCUCAACUGUGGAACUGCCUUUGAUACUGUCAGUCUAGAGUAUAGUUGAAGUUGGCGGAAUGUGUCAUGUAGCGGUGAAAUGCUUAGAUAUGACACAGAACACCGAUCGCGAAAGCAGCUAGCUAAGCUAUAACUGACGCUCAUGCACGAAAGCGUGGGGAUCAAGCAGGAUUAGAUACCCUGGUAGUCCACGCUGUAAACGAUGA